rnacentral:rRNA from 1 species
UAAGACAGAGGUGCCGAGCGUUAGGCGGAAUCACUGGGCUUAAAGCGUGUGUAGGCGGAUCGUUAAGUAUCUUGUGAAAUCCCACGGCUCAACCGUGGAACUGCUGGGUAUACUGGCGAUCUUGGGCCACCUAGGGGCAGAUGGAACAGACGGUGGAGCGGUGAAAUGCGUAGAUAUCGUCUGGAACGCCAAAGGUGAAGACAGUCUGCUGGGGGUGUGCCGACGCUGAGACACGAAAGCCAGGGGAGCGAACGGGAUUAGAUACCCCGGUAGUCCUGGCCCUAAACGAUGUCGACUGGAUCGUAGUGGCUCUGACGUCAUUACGGUCGUAGCAAAAGUGCUAAGUCGACCGCCUGGGAAGUACGGUCGCAAGGCUA